rnacentral:rRNA from 1 species
CGGCGGACGGGUGAGUAACGCGUGGGUAACCUGCCUCAUACAGGGGGAUAACAGUUGGAAACGGCUGCUAAUACCGCAUAAGCGCACAGUACCGCAUGGUACCGUGUGAAAAACUCCGGUGGUAUGAGAUGGACCCGCGUCUGAUUAGGUAGUUGGUGGGGUAACGGCCUACCAAGGCGACGAUCAGUAGCCGACCUGAGAGGGUGACCGGCCACAUUGGGACUGAGACACGGCCCAAACUCCUACGGGAGGCAGCAUG